rnacentral:misc_RNA from 1 species
GAAUCCUGCAAAGCAGAACGACCCGUGAACAUGUUAUAACCACCAUGCCAUGAUGGGUUGAGCGUUAGUUCGAUCCAUGUGGCACACCGUUGAUGU